GGGUUGUGAGGUUAAGCGAAUAAGCGUACACGGUGGAUGCCUAGGCAAUCAGAGGCGAUGAAGGACGUGCUAAUCUGCGAAAAGCGUCGGUAAGGUGAUAUGAACCGUUAUACCCGACGAUAUCCGAAUGGGGAAACCCAGUAUCCAAUGGAUACUAUCAUUAACUGAAUCCAUAGGUUAAUGAGGCGAACCGGGAGAACUGAAACAUCUCAGUACCCCGAGGAAAAGAAAUCAACCGAGAUUCCCCUAGUAGCGGCGAGCGAACGGGGAGCAGCCCAGAGUCUUAAUCAAUAGCAGUGUCAGGAGAACGGUCUGGAAAGUCCGGCAGUAAAGGGUGAUAGCCCCGUAUCUGAAGAUGCUGUUAUUGUGAACUCGACGAGUAGGGCGGGACACGUGUUAUCCUGUCUGAAUAUGGGGGGACCAUCCUCCAAGGCUAAAUACUCCUGAUUGACCGAUAGUGAACCAGUACCGUGAGGGAAAGGCGAAAAGAACCCCGGCGAGGGGAGUGAAAAAGAACCUGAAACCGUGUACGUACAAGCAGUAGGAGCCUCUUUAUGGGGUGACUGCGUACCUUUUGUAUAAUGGGUCAGCGACUUAUAUUCUGUAGCAAGGUUAACCGUAUAGGGGAGCCGUAGGGAAACCGAGUCUUAACUGGGCGAAUGAGUUGCAGGGUAUAGACCCGAAACCCGGUGAUCUAUCCAUGGGCAGGUUGAAGGUUGGGUAACACUAACUGGAGGACCGAACCGACUAAUGUUGAAAAAUUAGCGGAUGACUUGUGGAUGGGGGUGAAAGGCCAAUCAAACCGGGAGAUAGCUGGUUCUCCCCGAAAGCUAUUUAGGUAGCGCCUCGUGAACUCAUCUUCGGGGGUAGAGCACUGUUUCGACUAGGGGGUCAUCCCGACUUACCAACUCGAUGCAAACUGCGAAUACCGAAGAAUGUUAUCACGGGAGACACACGGCGGGUGCUAACGUCCGUCGUGAAGAGGGAAACAACCCAGACCGCCAGCUAAGGUCCCAAAGUCAUGGUUAAGUGGGAAACGAAGUGGGAAGGCUCAGACAGCCAGGAUGUUGGCUUAGAAGCAGCCAUCAUUUAAAGAAAGCGUAAUAGCUCACUGGUCGAGUCGGCCCGCGCGGAAGAUGUAACGGGGCUAAACCAUGCACCGAAGCUGCGGCAGCGACACAAAGUGUUGUUGGGUAGGGGAGCGUUCUGUAAGCCUGCGAAGGUGUACUGUGAGGUAUGCUGGAGGUAUCAGAAGUGCGAAUGCUGACAUAAGUAACGAUAAUGCGGGUGAAAAACCCGCACGCCGGAAGACCAAGGGUUCCUGUCCAACGUUAAUCGGGGCAGGGUGAGUCGACCCCUAAGGCGAGGCUGAAAAGCGUAGUCGAUGGGAAACGGGUUAAUAUUCCCGUACUGGUGGUAACUGCGAUGGGGGAACGGAGAAGGCUAGGUUGUCCGGGCGACGGUCGUCCCGGUUCAAGCAGGUAGGCAGAGUGAUUAGGCAAAUCCGGUCACUUAAUGCUGAGAUGUGAUGACGAACCACCAAGGUGGUGAAGCAAUUGAUGCCCCGCUUCCAGGAAAAGCCUCUAAGCUUCAGGUUACCAACAAUCGUACCCCAAACCGACACAGGUGGUCAGGUAGAGAAUACUCAGGCGCUUGAGAGAACUCGGGUGAAGGAACUAGGCAAAAUGGUGCCGUAACUUCGGGAGAAGGCACGCUGGCGGUAGGUAAAGUCCCUUGCGGACGGCGCUGAAGCCAGUCGAAGAUACCAGCUGGCUGCAACUGUUUAUUAAAAACACAGCACUGUGCAAACACGAAAGUGGACGUAUACGGUGUGACGCCUGCCCGGUGCUGGAAGGUUAAUUGAUGGGGUUAGCCGCAAGGCGAAGCUCCUGAUCGAAGCCCCAGUAAACGGCGGCCGUAACUAUAACGGUCCUAAGGUAGCGAAAUUCCUUGUCGGGUAAGUUCCGACCUGCACGAAUGGCGUAAUGAUGGCCAGGCUGUCUCCACCCGAGACUCAGUGAAAUUGAACUCGCUGUGAAGAUGCAGUGUACCCGCGGCAAGACGGAAAGACCCCGUGAACCUUUACUAUAGCUUGACACUGAACAUUGAGCCUUGAUGUGUAGGAUAGGUGGGAGGCUUUGAAGUGUGGACGCCAGUCUGCAUGGAGCCAACCUUGAAAUACCACCCUUUAACGUUUGAUGUUCUAACCUAGGCCCAUAAACUGGGUCGGGGACCGUGUCUGGUGGGUAGUUUGACUGGGGCGGUCUCCUCCUAAAGAGUAACGGAGGAGCACGAAGGUUGGCUAAGCAUGGUCGGACAUCAUGCGGUUAGUGCAAAGGCAUAAGCCAGCUUGACUGCGAGAGUGACGGCUCGAGCAGGUACGAAAGUAGGUCUUAGUGAUCCGGUGGUUCUGAAUGGAAGGGCCAUCGCUCAACGGAUAAAAGGUACUCCGGGGAUAACAGGCUGAUACCGCCCAAGAGUUCAUAUCGACGGCGGUGUUUGGCACCUCGAUGUCGGCUCAUCACAUCCUGGGGCUGAAGUAGGUCCCAAGGGUAUGGCUGUUCGCCAUUUAAAGUGGUACGCGAGCUGGGUUUAGAACGUCGUGAGACAGUUCGGUCCCUAUCUGCCGUGGGCGUUGGAAGAUUGAGAGGGGUUGCUCCUAGUACGAGAGGACCGGAGUGAACGCACCACUGGUGUUCGGAUUGUCAUGCCAAUGGCAUUGCCCGGUAGCUAAGUGCGGAAGAGAUAACCGCUGAAAGCAUCUAAGCGGGAAACUUGCCUCGAGAUGAGUCUUCCCUGUCGCUUUAAGCGACCUAAAGGAACGUUUAAGACUAAGACGUUGAUAGGCUGGGUGUGUAAGCGUAGCGAUACGUUGAGCUAACCAGUACUAAUGAACCGUGAGGCUUAACCUGACAACACCGAAAGUGUUUUG
rnacentral:rRNA from 1 species